CCCCUAGAUGUUCUGGGCCGCACGCGCGCUACACUGAACAGUUCAACAAGUCUUAACCUUGGCCGAUAGGUCUGGGUAAUCUUUGAACGCUGUUCGUGACUGGGAUAGACCUUUGCAAUUAUGGGUCUUCAACGAGGAAUUCCUAGUAAACGCAAGUCAUCAGCUUGCAUUGAUUACGUCCCUGCCCUUUGCACACACCGCCCGUCGCACCUACCGAUUGAAUGGUCCGGUGAAAUCUCGGGACGGCGGCUUGGUCGCUUGCGUCCGACUGCUGAAACUUGAUUAAACCAUAUCAUUUAGAGGAAGGUGAAGUCGUAACA
rnacentral:rRNA from 1 species